rnacentral:rRNA from 1 species
UGGGGAAUAUUGCACAAUGGGCGCAAGCCUGAUGCAGCAACGCCGCGUGAAGGAUGAAGGCCUUCGGGUUGUAAACUUCUGUCCUAGGGGAAGAAACAAAUGACAUUACCCUUGGAGGAAGCCCCGGCUAACUACGUGCCAGCAGCCGCGGUAAUACGUAGGGGGCGAGCGUUAUCCGGAAUUAUUGGGCGUAAAGAGUGCGUAGGUGGCACCUUAAGCGCAGGGUUUAAGGCAAUGGCUCAACCAUUGUUCGCCUUGCGAACUGGGGUGCUUGAGUGCAGGAGGGGAAAGUGGAAUUCCUAGUGUAGCGGUGAAAUGCGUAGAUAUUAGGAGGAACACCAGUGGCGAAGGCGACUUUCUGGACUGUUACUGACACUGAGGCACGAAAGCGUGGGGAGCAAACAGGAUUAGAUACCCUGGUAGUCCACGCCGUAACGAUGAGCACUAGGUGUCGGGGUCGCAAGACUUCGGUGCCGCAGUUAACGCAUUAAGUGCUCCGCCUGGGGAGUACGCACGCAAGUGU